rnacentral:lncRNA from 1 species
AUGGGAUCUGAGGACCCUGGGCCUCGGGGUCCCGUCAGUGGAACCAGUGAUAGUCGGGGGGCUUCAGCACCCACCGCUUCCCCUGGGCCAGGCCCAGGUGUAAAGAUUCAGGGGACAUGGAGGGGAUGGCCCCCGUGGGAGUGGACGCUGACCAGGAGCUCAGGGAGAGCCGGAGUGACUCCCAGAAGCUUCCCUCUGAUGCUCCCAGCCCCAGGAGCCCUUUCCCCCUGCAGGGCCUGUGGUGUCCAUCAGAGCCCAGAGCCUGUUUCUCAGUCCAGCUUGCAGCACAGCGCGUCCCACACAGACUCCAGCGCACCCAGGGGGGUUGGCGCUUUGCCUUUAGCGGAACAGGUUAACCUUCCAGCUGCUGGCUGGGGGGGGGGCUGCCAGGGAGCGCCGAGCAGCCGAAGUCGCGUCUCCAGGAGCUUGGGGGGUGCAGCGCCCACCCAGGCCCGCAGGCCUCUGAGUAACUGUCCCCCGUUCACAUCAGGAAUUCUCCAGGGAAUGGCACAGGUCCCAAGGACACCCCAGCCCGGCGAGCAGAGAAUGUGUUGCCUCUUUUGGUUCCUGGUGGGGUCCAGGUGCUAUGGUUGCAGGGUGUUUCCCAAGGAGCCUGGUUCUCGUCACUCGCCCACUGUCUCCGCGGCAUGGGCUUGUCCUGCCAGCAGACAUCCCAGGUCGCUUGGGUGUGACGGGGCAGGGUUGGCCCCCUUCAAGGACGCAGGUACUGAGUUUCCAGAGGUCUGGAGUUUCAGAGUUGGGAUGGAGCCUGGGAAUGUGCCCACCGCCUCGGGGGCCUCAGAGCGGGGCCAGGGACAGGUGGGCAGGGAAGAAGGGCCACCAUUUCCCCCAAAGAGUCCCUGGGAGGCUGGUCGGUACUGCUGUGCCCACCACCAGGCCAGAGGUUCCCAGCGAGAGGGGGCCAAAGGAGGGCUCACGCAGUGCCCAGGGAUGGUGAUUGGAGCCCACAGUAUGUGGGGGGGUCGGGGGAUGGGGGUCUUGGGUGAGCUCUGCGUUUCCCUGUGGCCUGUCCUGGUUCCCAGACACAUGCGUCCUGCUGGCGCCCAACUUGCCCCAGUAUGCUGCCAUCCCUGGGCCCCCAUCCAAGUGUAA